rnacentral:rRNA from 1 species
UAAGGAAUAUUGCUCAAUGGGAGAAAUCCUGAAGCAGCAACGCCGCGUGGAGGAUGAAAUACUUUAGUAUGUAAACUCCUGUAAGAGGGGAAAAAUAUACAGUUCUGCUGUAUUGAUUGUACCCUCAGAGUAAGCACCGGCUAACUACGUGCCAGCAGCCGCGGUAAUACGUAGGGUGCUAGAGUUGUCCGGAUUUACUGGGUGUAAAGGGUGCUCAGGUGGGUUUGUAAGUCAGAGGUGAAAUCCCAAA